AUUGAACGCUGGCGGCAGGCCUAACACAUGCAAGUCGAACGAGUGGCGGACGGGUGAGUAAUGUCUGGGAAACUGCCUGAUGGAGGGGGAUAACUACUGGAAACGGUAGCUAAUACCGCAUCCCAUCGGAUGUGCCCAGAUGGGAUUAGCUAGUAGGUGGGGUAACGGCUCACCUAGGCGACGAUUCCUAGCUGGUCUGAGAGGAUGACCAGCCACACUGGAACUGAGACACGGUCCAGACUCCUACGUGAGGCAGCAGUGGGGAAUAUUGCACAAUGGGCGCAAGCCUGAUGCAGACAUGCCGCGUGUAUGAAGAAGACCUUCGGGUUGUAAAGUACUUUCAGCGGGGAGGCGUUACCCGCAGAAGAAGCACCGGAUAACUCCGUGCCAGCCGACGCGGUAAUUC
rnacentral:rRNA from 1 species